UGGAAUUGGCCUCGUCGAUGACGAAAGGCGGAUAGGAUUUGAGCACGAUCUCCCUGUGCUUCUUGUGAAAAGUGAGCUCGAAGUACUGAACCUCGUGCUGAAUUGUCGGGUUCCAGCCUGGAUGAACUCGGCCCGAGUCGACUUGUCUCGACGCGCGAACCCACUUGAGCUCAACCCCAUGGAACGUAUCCACCAGCGCUUGAUUCCGGUCCAUAGCCAGAGUGAGGUGGUUCUCCUUCGUGGGCUU